AGAACUUAAAUCCAAAAGUGUGGUUGCCAAUCUGGUGAGUGCAUAACUUGUAAUCACUUGUUGUAUAAGGUGUUAAGAUAUUAAAUUAUCUUUUCAGACAAAACUCUACAAAUACAGAAAAAUUGAACUGUAUAAAUAUAUCGUUGUAUUCAUCUUUAUUUUUAUCAAUACUUGAAAUAGUUGACACUACUCGUAGCGUUGCUAGAAGCACUG
rnacentral:lncRNA from 1 species